GACGAACGCUGGCGGCGUGCUUAACACAUGCAAGUCGAACGGAAAGGCCCUGCUUUUGUGGGGUGCUCGAGUGGCGAACGGGUGAGUAACACGUGAGUAACCUGCCCUUGACUUUGGGAUAACUUCAGGAAACUGGGGCUAAUACCGGAUAGGAGCUCCUGCUGCAUGGUGGGGGUUGGAAAGUUCCGGCGGUUGGGGAUGGACUCGCGGCUUAUCAGCUUGUUGGUGGGGUAGUGGCUUACCAAGGCUUUGACGGGUAGCCGGCCUGAGAGGGUGACCGGCCACAUUGGGACUGAGAUACGGCCCAGACUCCUACGGGAGGCAGCAGUGGGGAAUAUUGCACAAUGGGCGGAAGCCUGAUGCAGCAACGCCGCGUGCGGGAUGACGGCCUUCGGGUUGUAAACCGCUUUCGCCUGUGACGAAGCGUGAGUGACGGUAAUGGGUAAAGAAGCACCGGCUAACUACGUGCCAGCAGCCGCGGUGAUACGUAGGGUGCGAGCGUUGUCCGGAUUUAUUGGGCGUAGAGGGCUCGUAGGUGGUUGAUCGCGUCGGAAGUGUAAUCUUGGGGCUUAACCCUGAGCGUGCUUUCGAUACGGGUUGACUUGAGGAAGGUAGGGGAGAAUGGAAUUCCUGGUGGAGCGGUGGAAUGCGCAGAUAUCAGGAGGAACACCAGUGGCGAAGGCGGUUCUCUGGGCCUUUCCUGACGCUGAGGAGCGAAAGCGUGGGGAGCGAACAGGCUUAGAUACCCUGGUAGUCCACGCUGUAAACGGUGGGUACUAGGUGUGGGGUCCAUUCCACGGGUUCCGUGCCGUAGCUAACGCUUUAAGUACCCCGCCUGGGGAGUACGGCCGCAAGGCUAAAACUCAAAGGAAUUGACGGGGCCCCGCACAAGCGGCGGAGCAUGCGGAUUAAUUCGAUGCAACGCGUAGAACCUUACCUGGGUUUGACAUGGAUCGGGAGUGCUCAGAGAUGGGUGUGCCUCUUUUGGGGUCGGUUCACAGGUGGUGCAUGCCUGUCGUCAGCUCGUGUCGUGAGAUGUUGGGUUAAGUCCCGCAACGAGCGCAACCCUUGUUCACUGUUGCCAGCACGUUAUGGUGGGGACUCAGUGGAGACCGCCGGGGUCAACUCGGAGGAAGGUGGGGAUGACGUCAAGUCAUCAUGCCCCUUAUGUCCAGGGCUUCACGCAUGCUACGAUGGCUGGUACAGAGAGUGGCGAGCCUGUGAGGGUGAGCGAAUCUCGGAAAGCCGGUCUCAGUUCGGAUUGGGGUCUGCAACUCGACCUCAUGAAGUCGGAGUCGCUAGUAAUCGCAGAUCAGCAACGCUGCGGUGAAUACGUUCCCGGGGCU
rnacentral:rRNA from 1 species